UAGCAGUGGGGAAUAUUGGACAAUGGGCGAAAGCCUGAUCCAGCAACGCCGCGUGAGGGAUGACGGCCUUCGGGUUGUAAACCUCUUUCAGCGCAGACGAAGCGAAAGUGACGGUAUGCGCAGAAGAAGCACCGGCCAACUACGUGCCAGCAGCCGCGGUAAUACGUACGUGCGAGCGUUGUCCGGAAUUAUUGGGCGUAAAGGGCUCGUAGGCGGUCUGUUGCGUCAGGAGUGAAAACUCGGGGC
rnacentral:rRNA from 1 species